UGGGGCGGCUAUACCAUGCAAGUCGAACGGAUCUUCCGAUUUAGUGGCGGACGGGUGAGUAACGCGUGAGAAUCUGGCUUCACGUCUGGGACAUCACUUGGAAACGACUGCUAAUACCGGAUGUGCCCAGAGGUAAAAAAUUAAUUGCCUGAGUAUGAGCUCUCGUCUGAUUAUCUAUUUGGUGUGGUAAAAGCGCACCCCGGCCACGAUCACUAUCUGGUCUGAGAGGAUGAUCACCCACACUGGGACUGAGACACGGCCCACACUCCUACGGGAGGCGGCAGUGGGGAAUUUUCCGCAAUGGGCGAAAGCCUGACGGAAGCAAAUAACCGGCCGUGAGGGGAGGGAAAGGCUCUUGAGUUAUUAAAACCUCUUUUCUUCAAGGAAUAAAUUCAAUGAAGGUACCUUGAGGAAAUAAAGCAUCGGCUAACUCCGUGCGCAGCAGCCCGCGGUAAUACGGGAGGGAUGCAAGCGUUAUCCGGAAAUGAUUGGGGCAUAAGAGGGUCCACAGGUGGCACUAUAAGUCUGCUGUCAAAGAAUGAGGCUCAACCUCAUCAACGCAGUAGAAACUACAAAGCUAGAGUACGGUCGGGGUAGAAAGAAUUCCUGGUGUAGCGGUGAAAUGCGUAGAGAUCAGGAAGAACACCGGUGGCGAAAGCGUUCUGCUAGGCCUGUACUGACACUGAGGGACGAAAGCUAGGGGAGCGAAUGGGAUUAGAUACCCCAGUAGUCCUAGCCGUAAACGAUGGAUACUAGGCGUGGCUUGUAUAGACCCGAGCCGUGCCGGAGCCAACGCGUUAAGUAUCCCGCCUGGGGAGUACGCACGCAAGUGUGAAACUCAAAGGAAUUGACGGGGGCCCGCACAAGCGGUGGAGUAUGUGGUUUAAUUACGAUGCAACGAGAAGAACCUUUACCCAAGACUUUGACAUGUCGAGAAUCUUUCUUGAAAGAGAAGAGUGCCCUUUCGGGAGCGCGAACACAGAUGGUGCCAUGGCUGUCGUCAGCUCGUGUCGUGAGAUGUUUGGGGUUAAGUUCCCCCAAACGAGCGCCAACCCUCGUUUUUAGGUUGACAUCGCAUGGAAAAUUGGGCACCUACUUAGACAGACUUGCCGGUGAACAAACCGGGAAGGAAUUGUGUGGGAAAUGAGGUUCAAGUUUCAGUCAGUGGGGCCCCUUACCUCUUGGGCCACACAUGUAAUACAAUGUUACGGACAGAGGGCAGAUAAACAGAGAUGUCAAGCAAAUCCUGUAAACAGUAGCUCAGUUCAGAUCGCAGGGUGCAACUCGCGUGCGAGAAGGGGGAAUCGAUUGUAAUUGCAGGUCAGCAUAGGGCAGAGAUUUUGUUCCCGUGCCUUGUACACCCCCCCUCUCACCCCAUGGAAGGUGGCAACGCCAGAAGUCAUUACUCCAACCUUGUGGAGGAGGAUGCCUAAUGUUAGGUUUGC
rnacentral:rRNA from 1 species